AUGGAGCCUAACAUAGGGCAAGCCCUGGCCGCUGUCCUCACGCUGCUGGUGACCACGAGAGCACUGUGGUAUCUGCUCUGGAGGCCGUAUGCCAUAGCCAGGUGGUUCGGGCGGCAGGGCAUUAGAGGUCCGCCUUACAAAUUCCUGGUUGGGUCCCUGCCGGAGUGCCAAAGGAUGGUUGUUGCCGGGAGAGCCAAGGAUCUGGACACCAGCUCCCACGACUGCGUCACUACGGUGCAACCCUUCUUCCGUAAAUGGGCCUCCCUGUAUGGAAAAACAUUCCUGUACUGGCUGGGACCGACACCAGCACUGUGUUGUACAGACAUGGAGCUGGUGAAGAAAGUGUUAACCGACAGGACAGACAUGUUCCAAAAGGACUAUUUGAACCCAAGCUUGGAUCCAGUUCUGGGGAACGGGGUCGUGUUCGCAAACGGAGACGACUGGAAGCGGCGCCGCAAAUUCAUCCACCCUGCUUUCAACCAAGGGAUGAUCAAGGCCAUGUCAGAAAUAACGUUGGAGUGCACACAGCGGACAAUGGAACGGUGGCGCGCAAAAAUUCAAGAGAGCAGCAGGCAGCAGACCGAGAUAGACAUGAGUCACGACUCUGACGAAAUAGCCAUGAGUGUCAUUGCACGAAUGAUGUUGGGCAAGAACUACAAGGAGGCCUGGGAGGUGCUGGUCGCCGGUAAAGAGCAGUUGAAGCUUGCCACAUAUGCUUUUGCGGAUCCUCCGGUAACUGGAUUCAAGUACCUGCCGACACCUCGCAACCGUCGGACGUGGCAACUUGACAAGCUUGUGAGAAGCAAGAUCUCACGGAUCAUAGAGGCACGACUUGGUAGCAGCAUCUACGAAGACGACCUGCUGGGGCAGAUGCUGCAGCUGCAGGCAUGUAGCAAGACCCAGACUCUGAGCACCGAGGAAAUGGUCGGCGAGUGCAGGACCUUCUUCGCGGCUGGGUACGAUACCAGCGCCAGCCUCAUUACCUGGGCGAUGUUCCUGCUGGCCAGCUACCCACAGUGGCAGGAGAUGGUCAGGGAGGAGGUCGUCCGGGAAUAUCCUGCUCACCACCUGCCCUUAGUUGAUUCCCCUGGCAAACUGAAGCUGCUUAACAUGUUGCUCUUGGAGACACUGAGGCUCUAUGGCCCCAUAGCUUUCCUACAGAGGAAGACUUCCUCAGACACCACCCUCGCGCACAUGAAGGUGCCGAAAGGAACUAUGAUAACAAUACCGUUGGUGAUGUUGCACCGGGACAAAGAUGUCUGGGGGCCUGACGCUGACAUGUUUAACCCCAUGAGGUUCCAGAAUGGCUUCUUGAAGGCCGCCAAGCAUUCGCACGCGCUGUUGGCCUUCUCAUGCGGUCCUAGGGUCUGUGCUGGGCAGAAUUUCGCCAUGGUUGAGGUGCAGAUCGUGAUAGCCACCAUCCUGAAGAGUUUCACCUUCUCCCUGUCCCCUACUUAUGUGCACAAGCCCAGCAAUUUCAUCACUCUGACGCCCAGGUACGGGCUCCCUCUCAUCGUGAGGAAACUGCAGCAGGCUGUGUGA
rnacentral:rRNA from 1 species